rnacentral:rRNA from 1 species
CCUACGGGUGGCAGCAGUGGGGAAUAUUGCACAAUGGGCGCAAGCCUGAUGCAGCCAUGCCGCGUGUGUGAAGAAGGCCUUCGGGUUGUAAAGCACUUUCAGCGGGGAGGAAGGCGUUGAGGUUAAUAACCUCAUCGAUUGACGUUACCCGCAGAAGAAGCACCGGCUAACUCCGUGCCAGCAGCCGCGGUAAUACGGAGGGUGCAAGCGUUAAUCGGAAUUACUGGGCGUAAAGCGCACGCAGGCGGUCUGUCAAGUCGGAUGUGAAAUCCCCGGGCUCAACCUGGGAACUGCAUUCGAAACUGGCAGGCUAGAGUCUUGUAGAGGGGGGUAGAAUUCCAGGUGUAGCGGUGAAAUGCGUAGAGAUCUGGAGGAAUACCGGUGGCGAAGGCGGCCCCCUGGACAAAGACUGACGCUCAGGUGCGAAAGCGUGGGGAGCAAACAGGAUUAGAUACCCCAGUAGUC